CCUACGGGUGGCAGCAGUGAGGAAUAUUUGUCAAUGGACGCAAGUCUGAACCAGCCAUGCCGCGUGCAGGAAGACGGCUCUAUGAGUUGUAAACUGCUUUUGUACGAGGGUAAACGCAGAUACGCGUAUCUGUCUGAAAGUAUCGUACGAAUAAGGAUCGGCUAACUCCGUUCCAGCAGCCGCCGUAAUACGGAGGAUUCAAGCGUGAUCCGGAUUGAUUGGGUUUAAAGGGUGCGUAGGCGGUCGGAUAAGUUAGAGGUGAAAUCCCGAGGCUCAACUUCGGAAUUGCAUCUGAUACUGUUCGGCUAGAGUGUAGUUGCGGGAGGCGGAAUGUAUGGUGUAGCAGUGAAAUGCGUAGAGAUC
rnacentral:rRNA from 1 species